rnacentral:rRNA from 1 species
UAGGGAGCAAGCGUUAUCCGGAAUUAUUGGGUGUAAAGGGUGCGUAGACGGGAGUCUAAGUUAGUUGUGAAAUCCCUCGGCUCAACUGAGGAACUGCAACUAAAACUGGACAUCUUGAGUGCAGGAGAGGAAAGUGGAAUUCCUAGUGUAGCGGUGAAAUGCGUAGAUAUUAGGAGGAACACCAGUGGCGAAGGCGACUUUCUGGACUGUAACUGACGUUGAGGCACGAAAGUGUGGGGAGCAA